UCAGGACGAACGCUGGCGGCGUGCUUAACACAUGCAAGUCGAACGGAAAGGCUUCAGCUUGCUGGAGUACUCGAGUGGCGAACGGGUGAGUAACACGUGGGUGAUCUGCCCUGCACUUCGGGAUAAGCCUGGGAAACUGGGUCUAAUACCGGAUAGGACCGCACUUUGGUGUGUGUGGUGGAAAGUUUUUUCGGUGUAGGAUGAGCCCGCGGCCUAUCAGCUUGUUGGUGGGGUAAUGGCCUACCAAGGCGGCGACGGGUAGCCGGCCUGAGAGGGUGGACGGCCACAUUGGGACUGAGAUACGGCCCAGACUCCUACGGGAGGCAGCAGUGGGGAAUAUUGCACAAUGGGCGGAAGCCUGAUGCAGCGACGCCGCGUGGGGGAUGACGGCCUUCGGGUUGUAAACUCCUUUCGCCAGGGACGAAGCGUUUUUGUGACGGUACCUGGAUAAGAAGCACCGGCUAACUACGUGCCAGCAGCCGCGGUAAUACGUAGGGUGCGAGCGUUGUCCGGAAUUACUGGGCGUAAAGAGCUCGUAGGUGGUUUGUCGCGUCGUCUGUGAAAUUCCGGGGCUUAACUCCGGGCGUGCAGGCGAUACGGGCAGGCUUGAGUACUGUAGGGGUAACUGGAAUUCCUGGUGUAGCGGUGAAAUGCGCAGAUAUCAGGAGGAACACCGAUGGCGAAGGCAGGUUACUGGGCAGUUAC
rnacentral:rRNA from 1 species